rnacentral:lncRNA from 1 species
AGAAUAAUCCUUAUUAUUUUUGGUUCAUUCGCCUCUGGCGAUUCUUCUUUUUUCCUCUUUGAAUAACUGAGUGCCUCUCUAAUUCCUUCUUGAGUGUAAACUUUGAAUAUACUUCAUCUUCAAUAUGAGAUCAUGCAUUACAAGUCUUGAGUGAUCUGUAGUUUUGGUGAUUUCAUGUAUAGUUCUUGAGUGAACUGAGUUUCUUAUGUUCGAGAGGGUUUGUUGUAAUCUUGAAUGAUUUAUGGGUUGUUGAGGCUAUAUUGUAAUUUCGGACGGUAUUUUGAUUACGGUUAAUGUAGUAAUUUCUUCCGGUGGUGGAAGCACAAAAGGGGAUUAGGAGCUUGCUCUGAAACUCUUGCCUUAGGGUGGAAAUUCUGUGUUCUUUCAGUUUUUCAUUUCCUUGCACAUUUAUAUUCUGUAUUUCGUUGAGAUUAUCGACUAAUCGAAUAAACCUAAUCUUAACAAUGGUAUCAGAGCUGUAAUCUUAAGUGAUUUCUAAGUUGUAGAGGCUAUACUGAAAUUUAGGAUGGUAUUUUGAUUUCGGUUAAUGCAGUGAUUUCUUCUGAUGGUGGAAACACAAAAGGAGAUUAGGAGCUUGAUUUGAACCUCUUGUCCUAGAGCAAAAAUUCUGUUUUCUUUCCGUUUUUCAUUUUCUUGCACAUUUAUAUUCUGUAUUUUGUUAAUAUUAUCGACUAAUCGAAUAAACCUAAUCCUAACAGUGGUAGCAGAGCUGUAAGAACAUGGUUCAUGACUUCGAUUGCGUAGAUCUGAAACACUACACACCUGAUUCAGUGGUUUGCUGUUAUUUCUUGAAACCCUAGUCAAGGGAUUUUGGUGACUUCGUUCCAGUUUUACAUUUUAUUGUACAUAUCACACUUUUAUACUUUAAGAUUUUCAAUAAAUCUGAAUAAGAUCCAUAGAUUUGAGACUUUCUUGGCAAUUCCUUUGUCAAUAAACCUUUUGAGUUGUCUGGAAUCUAAGGGUGGUCUUGACUUAAGUCGAAGACCUUGAUAAAACUCCUCUGUAUGUGAUCUUUCUUCUUGUAUAAUACGUGUGUUAUGGAUUGCACUUAUGCUAUAUGAUUUAUCUUAUACUGCAACUGUAUUAUUGUGAAUAAACUUGAGUGAAAUAAAUGAAAAACCUUUUACAGUUGGUGCUAUUGUAUAUUCAUUGUUCCUGUGUAGUAAUACUUGAAUCACUGAAAGAUGUAUAUACU